GUCAGUUGGUGCUGCAACAGUCACACACCUGGUGAAGGCUGCUACAGAAACAUGGCAUUUAUUCUGACUCAGGACCAAGUUUUGUGCGUCAUUUGCAUGGAUAGUUUCACCGAUCCGGUGUCUAUCCCAUGUGGCCACAACUUCUGCAUGGAUUGUAUUCAGGGUUUCUGGGAUGCGAGCCGCAAAUGUGAAUGUCCACUCUGCAAAGAGGCAUUCCAAACCCGACCAACCCUCAGGGUGAAUGUAAGCUUAAAAGACAUUACGGAACAAUUCAAAAGAUCUAUAAAAACAAAACAAGAUUGCAAACCAGAGCCAGCACCAAGGAGACAUACCUCCCGACGGUCCUUGAAAUCUGACACAAUACCUUGCGACAUCUGCAGCGAAAACAAGCAGACAGCAGUGAAGUCAUGCCUGGUCUGCCAAGCGUCUUAUUGUGAAAUGCACCUGGGCCCUCAUCUGAGGGAUCCGGUGAUGAUGAAGCAUAGUCUGACGGAUCCGGCCACCUUUAGCACU